AGGAUUUGGACAAGUGUACGUUGGUCGCCGAAUUUCAGCUACUAAUGCAAGCGAUAGGCUAAGUGCUUCCAGCGCUAUUGAGGUAGCAAUAAAGUUCGAGCAUAGAAGCAGUAAAGGCUGAAAUUAUGGACCACCUUAUGAGUGGCAAGUAUACAAGUAAGCAUUCUUAUGCUUGUUUCCUGAAUUAUGGUUGGUAGCCUAAUAACAGAACUUAUGUGAUGUACAUUCAUUUAUGCAAUACCCUUGGCUUUUCUUCAUGGGGUACCUCGUGUUUAUUACAAGGGUCGCCAAGGGGACUAUUAUGUCAUGGUGAUGGAUAUGUUGGGACCCAGUCUAUGGGAUGUUUGGAAUAAUAACUCCCAUGCAAUGUCAACAGAAAUGGUUGCUUGUAUUGCUAUUGAAGCAAUCUCUAUUUUAGAGAAGAUGCAUUCUAAAGGGUAGGCCUGCUCUUUACGCUAUGAAGAUGCAGAAUCUCAAUUUAUGUAAAAGUUUGUAAACAAUUUAUGUAUCUCUCUACUAUUUUGGUGAAUGUAUUAUUUGAA